rnacentral:lncRNA from 1 species
CUGAAGAACCAAACACCUCUCAUGCUCCAAUCGCGUUUUCAAUCUCACGACUUGAUCUUCUGAAGCUUCGUCUUCUUCAAAUUUCAACAUAAAAAUUGAAGAGUCCAGGUUCCACUCAUCGGAAAAUGAAUCGAAAUUAACAACAACCACUCGAUUUGGUUCGCGCGGAAACAAAGAGAUACGGAAUAGAAAACGAAAAUUCACCGGACCGAUGCGAUUUGCGAACAGGUAUGACUUCUGCUUCUCACCGAUUCAGAUGUCCUUCUCGUCUUCUCCCUCCGUUUGAUUCGUUGCGAACUGGUGGUUCUUAAUCGAUUCUGAUGGCGAUUCGCCUCUGUUGCAGAAACAGUGGUGAAGUUGUGAUUCUAUUAGUUUGAGUGAGUGCUUAUCUAUUUAAAAGUAAGGUUAAUGUUAAGUAUGAACAUUGUUAGCACUAUUGUGUUAAUUAUAUAGGUUGAAUCUUGAAGUUAAAGUUAGAUUAAUUAUGUUAAAACUGAAAUGUUAUGAACUGGAAUGUUAGGUUAGUUUCUAAUUGACAUGUUGUUAUUGGAUUACAAUGUGACAUGUAGGUGUGUUUGAUUCCUUUGGAAGUUUGGAGACUUCUCUCGUGAGAACUUCUAAGUCCAUU